rnacentral:rRNA from 1 species
UACGAAGGGGGCUAGCGUUGCUCGGAAUCACUGGGCGUAAAGAGCGUGUAGGCGGCCCGGUAAGUCCGCUGUAAAAGUCAAAGGCUCAACCUUUGAAUGUCAGUGGAUACUGCCGGGCUAGAGUCCGGAAGAGGCGAGUGGAACUCCUGGUGUAGCGGUGGAAUGCGCAGAUAUCAGGAAGAACACCAACGGCGAAGGCAGCUCGCUAGGACGGUACUGACGCUGAGACGCGAAAGCGUGGGGAGCGAACAGG